rnacentral:lncRNA from 1 species
AGAAAGGGAGAAGUUUGUGUUUGUCUUCAAGAAUUAAAAGAAACGUUUGAUUUCAUAAACUAUUUGAUGGAGGCUGCUUCUAUGAGCAGCAAGGUUACAAAACACAUUCUCAUAACAGUCAUAUUUAUAUGAAACUCUAGAACCCUAAACACUUGGAACUUGUUGUCAUUUCUUUGGGUUUCUGAAGAUUGCAUUGAGCUUCUUCUUUGGGCUCUAAUACUCCCCCGCAAACUUGGCAGCGGGUGAAAACGAAGCUGGCAAGUUUGAAUGAUCAUGAGAAUGAGUUUGGAUGGCUGGACAGGGAUGUGAGCAGAUGUAAACACCUCCUAAGGUAGCUGUAGUGAGAGUAAAACAAUAGACUUCAGAACCAGAUGAGAACUCUUGGUCUAUACUUGGAGAUCUAUCAUGACUCACUCAGAGGUUUCUCUUGAACUUGGAGAGUUUAGUAUAGUCUCUCAGAGGUAUUUUCAACCAUUGUUCUUCACAAAACUCUUGGUUGUCCUGCACCAUCACUUAGCAAACAGAAUACAUGUCCACAACUACUGAAAUUCUUCAACUCUAACAUUCUCUUUCCCGUUAUCAGCCACAUCUUUAAUAUUAUUUCCAGAGCAUCUUAACAAACUUGCAGCAGACAGCCAACAGAACCAUCAAACCAAGCAAUUUUCACAGUAGCAGCUUCUUCUCAUUCCACGAUCUAUAACUAAUCCAGAAAUCAUCUAAACUAGCCAUAUGACACGUUCUAUCUCCAAGAAAAGUGGGAAACGUUACCGUCAUUUAUAGCACCAACUCCACAAGCUUUGCAGUUUUGGAGCUGUCAUUUGAUUAAAGCUGCCACCUUUAACUCUUCUUCUUCUUCAUUAGGAUCUCGAACUUGUUCCCCUGCUUUUGUGCUAGCCGACAGGAAGGAGACAACUUGGAAAGCCUGCUUCUUCAAUUAAAACGCAAGUCUGGGUUUUGGUCAGGACAGUGUUAAUAGGAUCUGUCUUGGUCGCUGGUUCUUCUCUCUCUCUCUCUUUUUUUUUUCAAAGGAAAAAGAGAUGAGUGAUGGAGCUUGUGAGAAGUUGAGAUGAAGCGUAGAGACACCAAGAUCUAAUCCCUGGUGCUCUGAUACCAUGACUUAUUUCUUGAACUUUCUUUCUUACGAUUCAACGUUACAAGAGAUGUCUUAUUUAUACAUAAUAAUGAAAACCCUAGUCUUCUAAACAGGUGUCAUCAUCAGCUUGAAGCAAGGCCAUCAAGGGCUGAGAAUGGAUUGGACAGCUUGAGCUCAAACUUCUCUUUUGCAGUCUGCUUUAUCGUACUGCUUGCUGUCUUCUUGGACUGUAGCUCUUUAGUUUUAAUAACCGCAGACGACCGUUGAGACUCAAGCUUGCUGGGCUCUUCAUUGCGUUGGGCCUGAACAUCUUCCGGGUACAUUUUACCCUUUCCCUUUUGUUCUCUAGUUAGCUUGGUCAGGCCCAAGCAACUCUCUUUCUCUGCUUGAUGUUUCUCUGUUUCCACAGAAGGUACUUGUGCUGUAAUAGCCCCCCUCAAACUUGGUGUUGGUGGAACAUCUACACCCAGUUUGUAGCGUAAGGAGGAGAAGGCCUGAGCCGGUAGUGACUUAGUAAAAAUGUCAGCGAGCUGGAGGCGAGCCGGAACAUGCUUUACUACUACAGCACCCAAAGCAACUCGUUCUCUGAUAUAAUGAUAGUCUAUCUCGAAGUGCUUUGAUCUUUUGUGGUAGGCUGGGUUCGCUGUUAAGUGGACAGAGGAGAGGUUAUCACAAUACAGCUCAGGAGUCACCGGUUGAGGUACUCCAAGCUCACGUAAGACAGAGCAUAUCCAAGACAGUUCCUUUGCCGUUUCUGUAAGGGAGCGGUAUUCAGCUUCAGUGGAGCUACAUGAGACGGUUGGUUGUUUCUGAGAAGCCCAUGAGAUGAUGUUUGAGCCGAGGAAAGUGCAGAACCCUCCAGUAGAACGACGAGUAGAGGAGCAGCCACCCCAGUCACUGUCACUAUAAGCUCUUAGAGUGAAAUCAGUAUCUGCAGUGAAGUUGAUCCCCAUUGACAGAGUGCCUUUGAGAUAUCUCAGAAUCCUUUUUAGUAGAGUGAAGUCUGAGAUAGAAGGAGCAUGCAUUUUUUGGCACACAUAGUUGACGGCAAACUGAAUAUCAGGGCGUGUCAAGGUAAGAUACUGUAACUUGCCAGCCAAGCAUCUGAAGUAUGUUGGGUUUGAGAAGAGAGGUUCCGGUUGCUGUUGUGGAUCUUUUCCUCUGUUAAGCUGUUGAGGUAGAGGAGUGGCUAUUGGGGAACAGUCGCUCAUAGAGGCCACAGCGAGUAUGUCUUUUGCAUACUGUUCUUGACUCAGAAACAAUCCAUUUUCGUGAAAGAUCGCUUGGAUACCGAGAAAGUAGUGCAUCUGGCCAAGAUCUUUCAUCUUGAACUGCUGGUUGAGAGCUUGUAGAAGUUGAACCAUCGCAGUAGAGCUGUUUCCAGUCAGAAGCAUGUCAUCGACGUAGAGAAGAAGCAUGAUGACAUCUUUACCUCGAGAAUAAAUGAAUAGAGAUGGAUCUUUAAGACUGCAGACAAACCCAAACUCAAGAAGAUAGGAGCUGAACUUGUCAAACCAGGCGCGAGGCGACUGUUUUAAGCCAUACAAGGCUUUGUGAAGAAGGCAUACGUGAUCAGGUUUUGUUUUGUCAGUGAAGCCAGCUGGUUGUUUCAUGUAAACAACCUCAGUGAGAUCACCGUGUAAGAAGGCGUUUUUAACGUCCAUCUGUUUGAUAUCCCACUUCAUGACUGUGGCAAUGUGGAGAACCGUUCUGACUGUUGCAGAGCGGACAACUGGGCUGUAUGUUUCGAAGUAGUCGACGCCUUCUUCCUGGUCAUAUCCUUUUGCGACGAGUCGAGAUCGGUGUGACUUGAAGGAACCAUCCGCAUUGAGUUUGACUCGAUGUACCCAUCUUGAUCCCAAAACGUUCAUGCUGGGAGUAGCAGGGACUAAGGACCAAGUUCCUGUCUCUUUACAGUUAUCAAUUUCUUCAUGCAUAGAACCGUUCCAACCCGGGUGUUUGAGAGCCUCUGAGACGGUUUUAGGUAAGGAGUGUGAUGCCUUUUGGGUUAAGAGACAGUACCGAGGAUUUGGUUUUGAUAUUCCAGCUUUUGCUCUGGUGAUCAUGGGGUGAGCUGAUGUAAGUGUAGGCAAAGACGAUUGUUCUGUCCUGCGUUGUGGAGUGGUAGAGCUGUUGCCAAUAGAAACAGGAUCGGAGCCUGACGUACACUCAGAACUCUCCACUCCACUAGCAGUAGAACAACCUGAGCCAAGCACUGGUGAAGGAGAUAACUGAACUGAUGAUCGUGGUUGUCUUGGAGUAGCAGGAGCAGAGCUGUCGCUUGUCACAGAAGUUAAAGGAGGAAAAUCCUCAGGAGUAAAUAUUGGGUGUUGAGACGUUGGCCUCUUGGAGGAAAUCACCUUAGGAGCUUGGUGUUGCGUUGUUUUACUUGAGACGACAGCAGGAGUGGUCUUUUGGAAACUUUUGUACCAAGCAUCCAUUAAUGGUGAGGUUGCAGGUGGGUGAAGAUGAGCAUACUCUUUUGAGAACGGAAAGGAUUGUUCAUUAAAGAUAACAUGCCUAGAGAUAUAGACACGACCUGUUGUGGGUAGAAGGCAUCUGUAUCCUUUGUAUCGCUCAUUAUAUCCCAAGAAAACACACUGCAACGAUCUAGGGUCCAGUUUGGAAGAGGCAUAGUCCCUGAGCAUUGGGUAACAUGCACAGCCAAAGACCCUGAGAGCUCUGUAAUCUGGUGGCUUGCCAUGAAGAAGUUCAAAGGGGCUUCUGGAGUCAUCAAGGGCCGUAUGAGGGAGGAGGUUACUUAAAAAAUUUGCGGUAAAGAAGGACUCAACCCAAUACUUGUGUGGGACUUUGCUGUGAAAUAGAAGUGACAGACCAAGCUCAGUUAUCUGACGAUGCUUUCGCUCAGACAACCCAUUUUGUUGGGGUGUGUGGGGACAGGAGAUGAACUGUCUGAUCCCAUUCUGUUGGAGAUGGCUUAGGAAGGGUUUGCUGACAAAUUCCCCUCCUCCAUCACAUUGAAAAGUUCCAAUAGAAGUAUGAAACUGGUUUUGAACCAUUGAAUGAAAUUUAACAAAGGUAUCAAAGAAGUCUGACUUAUACUUCAAAGGAAAGAACCAACAGAAUCUAGAGUAGUUGUCUAUGAAGACUACAUAAUAUCUAAACCCCUGAACUGACAUAACAGGUGAGGGUCCCCAUAAAUCACAAUGAAGCCUCUCCAAUGGUCUUGUGGCGACAAAGGUAGAAGCAGCAAAGGGAAGGCGUGAACUCUUUGCAAGUUGACAGGCUUCACAGAAGGUUUUGAUAUGUUUAUUGAUGUAGAUAGACUUAGUUGAUGAUAGUUGUUGAAGAACUUGGAGAUUUGGAUGUCCCAACCUCUGGUGCCAAACAUCAUCAGACGCUGUGACUUGUCUUGACGAGUAGAACACUUGAGACGGAGCAUCAGAGAGCUUGUAGAGACCUUUAUUGCGACUUCCCUGAAGAAGAAGCUGCUUGGUUGACUUAUCAAACACACGCACAUCAUCAGAGUCAAACACAAAGGCACAUGGAUAGUCUGAAGUAGCUUGUGAUACAGACAGAAGUGAUUUAGCCAUAUCAGGACAAACCAAAACAUUAUUUAAAGGAAUGUUACCUGAGGCAGUUGACAGAGAUGUAGAGCCAGUGUGGGUGAUAGGAAGGAACUCUCCAUUUCCAACCAUCACCGAGUCAGAACCAGUGUAGGCCUGAGACUGUUGGAGAUGCCGUGGUGAGUUGGUGACGUGUGUGGUGGCACCUGAAUCAGAGAACCACUCAUGGCCAGAACUGCUUGUAACGUCUGUGAUGCGAAGGGCUGCUAGAGCAUGUGGCAUUUCCUCUGAUUGAUAACCGUUAUCAAACCUAUGCCAACAGCGAAGAGCUUGAUGCCCUGGCUUUCCACAGAUCUGACAGAUGAGGCGUGAGUCUGAGUCGGAGCUGACAGAAGAACGAGAGGAUGGUGAGACAUGUUGAUGAAAGCCUCGGCCUCUUGUUGAGUAGCCUCUGUUCUGACCACGACUUCCACCUCGCUGAAAGUUACCCCUUCCUCUGUUGGAGUAAAAAGCAAGGUUUGGAGUUACAGAGCUCUGGUCGACAUAGCUUUGUAGUCUGUCUUCGUAGCUGGUAAGGCGAGGGACAACAUCCUCAAACGUUGGUGUGGGAUGAGAGUCCAUUGAGCUUUCAAUGGUGGUUUUGAUAGGCUCAUAUUCUUUACCAAGACCAUGAAGAGCAGCAAAGACUUUCAUUCUUUCAGAGACUGGACUUCCGAUAGAAGAGAGUUGAGAACAAACGCUUUUUAUGUCUUUGAGAUAGAUGUCCAUCGUCUUCUCCAUCUUGGAGACGGUUUGAAGCUUUCUUUGAAGCUCAAAUAAACGAGACGAGGAUGAGCGGUUGUAGUAGCGAGCAAGAGCUGUCCAGACUUCAUAGGAUGUUCUACAAUCGACUACAACACCAAGGAUGUCUUCUGAAAAGGAACCAAGUAGCCAAGAUUUGACGACCUGAUCUGUCUGGAACCAACGACUUCGUUCUGGGUGGGGAACUUCUGUCUCGGUGCCGUUAAUACCUGGAACACGCACGGUGGUUGGAGGUUCUGGAUUGAGACCGUUCACAAAGCCAAGUAAGCCUUGUCCAUUGAGGAAGGCUUCAAACUGAGAUUUCCAGAGGAUGUAGUUGCGCUCACUGAGGGUAACGGUCACACUGUUUUCUAUACUCAGAGUUGGGGGAUUGUACACCUCCAUGGCCAUAGCAUCCGAGAAUCUAUCCCUGAUGCUCUGAUACCAUGAUAACAUUUAUAAAACAAGGUUUUAUUGAAAUAUAAAAUAGCUUCUUAAAGCUUUAUUUAAGUGAAAGAACAAGAAAGGGAGAAGUUUGUGUUUGUCUUCAAGAAUUAAAAGAAACGUUUGAUUUCAUAAACUAUUUGAUGGAGGCUGCUUCUAUGAGCAGCAAGGUUACAAAACACAUUCUCAUAACAGUCAUAUUUAUAUGAAACUCUAGAACCCUAAACACUUGGAACUUGUUGUCAUUUCUUUGGGUUUCUGAAGAUUGCAUUGAGCUUCUUCUUUGGGCUCUAAUACUCGGUUCCUACACAGA